UACGUAGGGUGCGAGCGUUAAUCGGAAUUACUGGGCGUAAAGCGUGCGCAGGCGGUUCGUUGUGUCGGCGGUGAAAGCCCCGGGCUUAACCUGGGAAUUGCGAUGGAGACUGCAAGGCUGGAGUCUGGCAGAGGGGGGGUAGAAUUCCACGUGUAGCAGUGAAAUGCGUAGAGAUCCGGAAGAACACCGGUGGCGAAGGCGGCCUGCUGGGCAGUAGCUGACGCUGAGGCGCGACAGCGUGGGGAGCAAACAGG
rnacentral:rRNA from 1 species